rnacentral:rRNA from 1 species
CUUGGUCAUUUAGAGGAAGUAAAAGUCGUAACAAGGUUUCCGUAGGUGAACCUGCGGAAGGAUCAUUAUUGAAUAAACUUGAGCAGGCUGUUGCUGGCCCCUCCUAUGGGGGGGUAUUGUGCACGCUUGUCAUAUUUAUCUCUCCAACUGUGCACAAGCUGUAGACCCUUGGAUUAGUCCAGAUUGAGGACUGCUGUGCUUGGAACAGCUUUGCCUUGUAGGUCUACAUUUUUUUAAUCACAAACCCUGAACCUGUUUAGAAUGUUGAUUUGGGUCAUUUGUACCUAUAAAAGUUAAAUAUACAACUUUCAGCAACGGAUCUCUUGGCUCUCGCAUCGAUGAAGAACGCAGCGAAAUGCGAUAAGUAAUGUGAAUUGCAGAAUUCAGUGAAUCAUCGAAUCUUUGAACGCAUCUUGCGCUCCUUGGUAUUCUGAGGAGCAUGCCUGUUUGAGAGUCAUUAAGUUCUCAACCACACCAAUUUUAUAUUGGAUGUGGCUUGGAUAUGGGGGUCAUGUUUUUGCAGGCUUUGGAAAACAAAGUCAGCUCCCCUAAAAUGUAUCAGUAGUAUCUGAGCAGAAACUACUAUCGGUGUGAUAAUUAUCUAUGCCUUUGGUGAACUGCAAGAAACAGAUUACACUGCUUCUAAUGAGUGCAAACCCCUUUGUUGGGGCACUUUUUUGACAAUUUGACCUCAAAUCAGGUAGGACUACCCGCUGAACUUAAGCAUAUCAAUAAGCGGAGGA